GCCGGGGUGGCGGAACUGGCAGACGCACAGGACUUAAAAUCCUGGGGAGGGUUAACCUCCGUGAGGGUUCGAGUCCCUCCCUCGGCA
rnacentral:tRNA from 1 species